rnacentral:misc_RNA from 1 species
CAAGUUUCACUAAACCUACUUUCCUAAUUGAACGUCCAUGGAAACUCUAACAAGAAUUGGUUCAAGCAUCUGAUUUUUACAGUUUGACUUCGCUAAGAUUCUCCUGCUCUCUAACAAAACCUAAUACUCACUCCAGAAUAACAGAGUUUUGUAACAAAAAAAGGCCUGAACCAGUUGAGUCCACCACCCUAUGAAAUAUCACAAGAAAUCUGAUGCUUUGAACAUUUAAGAAAUCAGCAGCCAAUUGGAAAGGUAAGUACUAUUGGAACAUCUUCCGAUACUGCUUUUUCUCCUGAUCACGCCUAUCGUUAAUCUUCUUCCUAGCAGCUGCAAGCUCCUUUUUUAUUCCAGCAUCAUUUGGCUCCAACUGCACGGCCUUCUUGAAGCUUUCAACAGCAGCAUCAAUGUCAUUAAGAGCCAUGUGUGCCUGUCCCUGCCGAAAUAAAGCUUUCACAUUGUUAUCUCCUUCACGCAUUGCAAAAUCUGUGUCCAACAAUGCUCCUUUCAGAUCUCCCAAUUUUAACUUGCAAGCAGCGCUGUUUGUGAAUAUCUGUGACUUUGUCUUUCUCAGAGAGGAGCUCUUUUCUUCAUCAAUCCCAUCUUUCUCCCAGCAGAUAUCCAGAUAACGUAAAGCCUUGCGAUAUUUUCUGAGUGCCAUCUUAUAGUCUUGUUUCUUGUAGUGUUCAUUUCCAAAAGCCUUGAUAGAAUCCACAGCAUCCAUCCACCAAGAAAGUUCAUUAGGACUCUCACUAAGGUCUGCUGGCCAAUCAGGAUAAAUAUCACCAUCCUUAAAGAAAUUAGAUAUUCCAUCAUCUGCCCCUGCAGGAAUCUCCCCACAAUCCGCAAUUAUAACAUCAACAGUAGGACAGUCACCAUCACCAGUGUUGACGUGCUCAAUUGAACGAACAACUCCCAUUCCUUUAACAACCUUCCCAAAUACAACAUGUUUCCCAUCCAAAUGAGAUGUACGAGUUGUUGUUAUGAAGAAUUGUGAUCCAUUUGUAUUGGCACCAGCAUUGGCCACAGAUAGCAUGCCUUUCCUUUCAUGUUUCAGUUCAAAAUUCUCAUCGUCAAAUUUCAAGCCAUAAAUAGAUUCACCACCGGUACCAUCUCCUGCUGAGAUAUCCCCACCUUGCACCAUAAAACCUUUGAUGACUCGAUGAAAUCGACAUCCCUUGUAAUGGAGGGGGACACCAGUGUGAGGCCCAAUGCCUUUCUCGCCGGUGCAAAGAGCUCUGAAAUUCUCAGCAGUUUUAGGCACGACGUCGUUAUAGAGCUCCACCACAAUCCUCCCUUCGAGCUCUCCUCCUAUGCUGAUAUCCAAGUAACACCUUGGCUUCUCCAUCCUU